rnacentral:rRNA from 1 species
GGGAUCUUGCGCAUGCGCGAANCGUGNGCAGCAACGCCGCGUGGGUGAAGAAGGCCUUCGGGUUGUAAAGCCCUUUCAGUUGGGACGAAGCUCCGCCGGUGAAUAGCCGGUUGGAGUGACGGUACCUUCAGAAGAAGCCCCGGCUAACUACGUGCCAGCAGCCGCGGUAAUACGUAGGGGGCAAGCGUUGUCCGGAAUCAUUGGGCGUAAAGAGCGUGUAGGUGGCUCGGUAAGUCCGCUGUAAAAGUCCAGGGCUCAACCCUGGAAAGCCGGUGGAAACUGUCGAGCUAGAGUCCGGAAGAGGCGAGUGGAAUUCCUGGUGUAGCNGGUGAAAUGCGCAGAUAUCAGGAGGAACACCAAUGGCGAAGGCAGCUCGCUGGGACGGUACUGACACUGAGACGCGAAAGCGUGGGGAGCAAACAGGAUUAGAUACCCUGGUAGUCCACGCCGUAAACGAUGGGCACUAGGUGUGGGGGGUGUCGACUCCCCCCGUGCCGACGCUAACGCAUUAAGUGCCCCGCCUGGGGAGUACGGCCGCAAGGCUAAAACUCAAAAGAAUUGACGGA